GAGGACUACUUCUGGGCAACUUAGAAGAGCCCUGCUGACCCCUGUGAAACUUCUGACCCACAGAAUCCGGGCGAGCUAGUAAAAUGAUUGCUAUCACUUGAAACACAUUUUGGGGUGAUUUGUUAUAUGGCGAUAGAUAACCAGAACGCUCUGCCAUGCCACCAGAGAUGUUUGCAGCAGGACUUUCUCCAGCCUUUCCUCAAAGGGACCUAUGGCUCAAGGCACCCUGACUAGAUGGACAAAUAUUGCAGCUAGGGGUUUAGCCUACAGAUUUUCGGAUCUGCUGACAGUACAUCGCCUUGAGCCAAGGGAAGCACUUGAUGGUGGAUGAGGCUUGACCGAGAGUGGCCUUGGAAUCCUCUCAGCCUAUGACGCUCCGCUUGCCCAGAAUAUUCUGGCCUGGUAGGGCAGGGAACAGCUUCUUGAAGGCAAAGCUAAAGUCGGGCACUCCUUCAGGGAAAGCCAUCAAGACUGCUGCACACCCAAAAGGAAAAAUAUAUGGGUUCAGGAACCAGAGAGAGGACUAGGAAUGGCCCUGCUCACUGGUACUCCCUGUGCCGUACUUGUCCCUCUGGAUACCUCUUUAUGGUUACUUUUCACUGGGACCUAGCCUUGAAGCACUUUCAGCAUCUAGCAGCUGUCGCAGUCCUCAGACUGUUCUCAGCCUACUGGAGUCACUUUGCCUGCAGGACAGUGAGCCUCAUAUCACUUUGGAAGUUCUCUGGUACUUGUGAAGCAUGAAUGUUUCUUCUUGACAAAUAUCAGAAAUGAGUGAGGAAACCUUGCCUCCAUGAGAGAGACACUUUGGGAUAGUUCAAUUCAUCAAUGCUUUGGUCAAGAGAUGGAUCAUCAAAAGGUCAUAUNNNNNNNNNNNNNNNNNNNNNNNNNNNNNNNNNNNNNNNNNNNNNNNNNNUAUCAUUUAGAACAUGGGAAUGAAAUUACAGAAAAAGAAGAUAUUGAAACAUUGUAAGUGUUGAAAGGAAAUCUUGUUUCAAGUGCCAAUUAGAGUAGACUACUAGGUUAAAGAACUAAAACAUUCUAUUUUAAGCUGUAUAAAAAUAAGAAACAGAUAUUUUAAGAAUAACCUUAAAAAUUAUCCAUCCCAAUUUUAAAAGUUUUAUACAGUUUACUGAGAUGCAGGGGAGUGAGCUGGACAGACUCAUGAAAUAAGUUAUACACCUCUUGGGAAAAUAGUUCUAUUUUUGCUAUUAUUAAGUAAUAGGCAUCCAUAGAUAUAUAAUAUUUUAUAUCCAAAAAGAGAUACAAAUGAUAAAAAUAAGGUAAAUUAUUAAUUAGUGGGAUAAAGUUUUAAUGAAGUAAUGUCAAUCUUGGGACAAAUCCCUAAACUCAUAAAAAUGAGGGGGAAGACUCAUGCCAUAAAAAUGACAUAGUUCAAAGUGUGAAAUUGACAUUCAAAUAUUAUAUGUUCCUAUUUGUGCAAGCAAAAGCCAGUCAAUAUUUAAGUAUGUGUAUGUAACUACUUAAACUUAAAUGUUAAAAAAAAACCCACUGAUCUUGGAAAUACAGAAGCAGGUAUUAAAACUCUGGUACUGGUAUGACCUAUGGAUUGUAGUUAACGGCAAUUCAUGCAUCUAUGACAAAGAUGUACUGUGUUGAUGAUGGGGGAGUAUGGAAAAAGUGUGCCAAAUGUAUACUGUGGACUAUGGUUGGUACUAAUAGUCUGAUGAUAUUAUCUCAUAAUCUGUAACAAAUAUUCCACCAUGGUGUAGUGUGUUGAUGCAGGAGCAUUGUAUGGGAAUUCUACACUUGUGUAUUUUUGUAAGUUCACAACUUCUGUAAUAAAAAUAUAUUUUUAAAAAUAAUAAUAGGGUGUUUUGGGGGAAAAAUACAACAAAUGUAAGAUAUGGACUAUAGUUAGUAGUAAUAUUUUUAUGGUGCUCUUUCAUAGACUGUAACAAAUGUUUCACAACAAUGCAAGGUGGUGGUGGUGGGGUGGUAUAUGGGACCCCUGUAUGAUGAUAGGCAUGUUUGUUUGGUAAACUCACAGCUUUUAUUAUACACUUACUGUUUAUGUAUCUUCAUGUAUGAAUGUUAUAAUGGUAUAAUUGAAUAAAAUUUUUACAAAUUUGUGGAGAGUCAAUAAAGCAAUGCUUAGUAGGGAAUUUACAAAAUUAAAUGCAUAUAUAUUAGAAAAAAAACCCUCUGAUGCUCAUUGCUUAGAGUAAAGGCAACUGGUAUUAUAUUAGAUAUGAGAAUCAUAAUCAAAGCAUAGCUUGUAAAAAUCAUGUAUUGUAAUACCUUUGUAGCAAAAAAGUACUGUAUUAAUGCUACUGUUAAAAAAAGAGUAUGGUGUUUAGUUUUAUGAGAUACGAAUAUGAUUCAGCAUUUUUUUCUUCUUCAUUUUCUUCAUUAACAAGGAGGUCUUGACCAUGUCAUUUAGCCAAUUCAUGUUCACCAGUAUAUCUUUCUAAACACUGGAGGAACAAUUGAAUUUGUUUUUAGGAUAUCAUGUGAUAGAAGUACCUGGACAGAAUUUUUUGGAGUAAUGCUCCCAAAACUCGUUAAUCUGCCUUUUGUCUGUUAUUUUAUUUUCUGAAUUUGAAAUAAAGUUUCCUUAAAAAAAUAACGUGUUUCUUACAUUCUCAGCUUUUCACACUUUAGUGUGCCAGAGAUAAAAUGUUUUCUGUGAAGGCUAAUGAGGAAACCAACCAAUCUUGCUCUCAAGGCUGAUGCUCAAGAGCUAUUAGCUAUUGAUUAUAUGUUAUUUUACUCUUGCUUAUUUCUCCAUUGACUUCUUCUUCUCAAUAGUUUCUUUUGAACAUAUUUCACCCGCUUCUAUUGAUUAAGGAGCAUAUAAUUUUUUUUUUUUGGCUUUGAUUGGAAAAUGAAGAAAACAAUUGCUAUUACCUACUUAAAUAACACCGCAGAAAUCUAACCAUGAAGUUAAAAUAUCCCUGACUUUUCAUCAUUUAUUUCUUCAUCAUCUACAGAGUGACCUUUUGCUUGAAAAGUUCACCUGAAAAUCAAUAGCAAUUUCUGUCAUUGCUUUUUAUCCCUGAUCAACGAGCUGGGAAAAGAACAGCUAUGACUUGGGCCAGUCACUAAAGAUGUGGUUCCUGGUUCCUUCAAAGGGCACUUCUGUCAAUUUUGCUGCUGUGAACAUCCAUCUUUCCUUAAUAUUUCUUUAAAAAAAAUUUUAAAACAUUAUUUCAACUUCAAAAAACAAAAUAACAAACAAAAGGUAACUCAACAAAUCAGAAGCACCACUUCAAAAAAAUCCCAUCAAGCAAAGUCACCCUACCCAAUCCCAAAGACAAACUCAACUGCCUUUCCAGUGCUCUGAAAGAUGAAUAAAUGAGCACAGAUUGGUUAAAUGACAUGACCAAGUUUCCUUGCUAAUGAAAAAAAAUGGGGAAAAAAGCUUGAUUAUAUUCACAUCUUAUAAAACUAACUCCCACAUUCUUUUUUUUUUUUUUGACCCUUAACAUUGAUAUAGUAUCUUCUUUGCCUUUGGUAAAAAAAUAUUGCAAUAUUACUAUUAUCUAGAGUCUAUAGACUGCAUUAGUUGUAUUUUUCCCAUGUAUCACCAUAUUCUUAACAUUGUAAUCCUUAAUAUUUCUUAAAUUAGAAUUGAAACCAUCAUAAAAGUUAUUAUAUUGUGAUAUUAAGAAAUAAUGGCCUUUAAAAAUAUUUGUAAUAUUUGUAAUAAAUGUUACCAGCAUGAGAAAAUAAAACAAGAAACAAAUAUGAACA
ensembl:lincRNA